rnacentral:rRNA from 1 species
GUCUACAGUCCUUCCAUCCUGAGUGUACUUGAUCUGGUCUGAUCUCAGAGCUCAGCAGGAGCGGAUCUGGUUAGUACUUGUAGACUGCCAGGGAAGAUUGAGUGCUGUAGACU